rnacentral:lncRNA from 1 species
AUGGAAUCUCCUUGAAUUAAGAUUGAAAGGGAAAAUGACGUAAUUGAAAUAUGAAUGAUUAUGUAGAAUUCCUUCAAUAUUAAAGGAUUUCCUCUUUUUUUUUAAAGGUGAAUGAAGCAAAUAUGAAUGUAAAUUUGGAACGUGAAAAAUGUAAAAAAUAAUAAAAAAAAUAAAAAUAAAUAUGAAAUAGUAAAUAUGAUCAUGAAUGAAGGAUAUGAAGGUGAGUGAAGAAAGAAUG